CGAAGAUCAUUCAAAGCUCCAAGCUCAAAGCUCUCCAAGUGAACCUCACGCCUCUCUCCAAGCAGAUAUUUUCAAAGUAAAGGAGUAUAAUCGAGAAGGUUUGCUUGCCAAUCUACCAAAAAAUUGAGAAUACGUUUGAAACAAAGAAACAAGAAUUAUUAGCUUCUCAAAGUGCAUCAGCUGCUGAAGGAGAAACUAACAUAGCUGGUCAACCUUCUCAAUUAACACAAAUGAUAAUCUGGGUUCAAUCUGUUGGUGGAAGGAAAAAAAGAAGAGUUAAAGGUCUUGGCUCGCUGGGUCGAUCUGUAAAGGCAUCUUCCAAAACAAUCAACAUCAUCUUUAUCAAGGGAAAUUGAUGAGAUGAUUAAAGCUCAGGUAAAUGCUUCCAUUGUUGACUAAUAUGCUCAAUUGCAGAAAGAGAGUCACAAAAUAAGAGGAUGAGGAGGGAAUUGGACUUAUUUAAGAAGCACAUAUACAACACAUCAUCUUCAAAUGAGCAAUAAUCUCAAGAAGACAAUCAAGCUUAUGAGGAUGAAAGUGGUGAUGACUCUGAUAGCGUGAAUGAUAGUGGUUCUGCCCAUGACUCUGAUAGCGUGAAUGAAAGUGAGGAUUGAGAUAGUUGAUAGUGCUAUUUAGGAUUCAAAUUUUAGUUGUUUUUGUUUUUGUCCAUUUGAAUCAUAAACUAUUGAUCCUGCGG
rnacentral:misc_RNA from 1 species